rnacentral:rRNA from 1 species
UACGGGGGGGCAAGCGUUGUUCGGAAUUACUGGGCGUAAAGGGCUCGUAGGCGGCCAACUAAGUCAGACGUGAAAUCCCUCGGCUUAACCGGGGAACUGCGUCUGAUACUGGAUGGCUUGAGGUUGGGAGAGGGAUGCGGAAUUCCAGGUGUAGCGGUGAAAUGCGUAGAUAUCUGGAGGAACACCGGUGGCGAAGGCGGCAUCCUGGACCAAUUCUGACGCUGAGGAGCGAAAGCCAGGGGAGCAAGCGGG